rnacentral:rRNA from 1 species
UACGAAGGGGACUAGCGUUGUUCGGAAUCAUUGGGCGUAAAGGGCGCGUAGGUGGCCCGGUCAGUUCGUGGUGAAAGCGCGGGGCUCAACCCUGCGUCGGCCAUGAAUACUGCCGCGGCUGGAGCACUGUAGAGGCAGGCGGAAUUCCGGGUGUAGCGGUGGAAUGCGUAGAGAUCCGGAAGAACACCGGUGGCGAAGGCGGCCUGCUGGGCAGUUGCUGACACUGAGGCGCGACAGCGUGGGGAGCAAACAGG